UACGUAGGGUGCAAGCGUUGUCCGGAAUUAUUGGGCGUAAAGAGCUCGUAGGCGGUUUGUCGCGUCUGGUGUGAAAAUCCAGGGCUUAACCCUGGACCUGCAUCGGGUACGGGCAGACUAGAGUGCGGUAGGGGAGAUCGGAAUUCCUGGUGUAGCGGUGAAAUGCGCAGAUAUCAGGAGGAACACCGGUGGCGAAGGCGGGUCUCUGGGCCGAAACUGACGCUGAGGAGCGAAAGCGUGGGGAGCAAACAGG
rnacentral:rRNA from 1 species